rnacentral:snoRNA from 1 species
CCUGCCCCAGAAGUGUUGCAAAUGUGGCUGCUGUGUCACAGGUGUAUCAGAGGGUGGCAGAGAGGAGAGAGGCUAUGUCUAUGCUUAGUGUUCUGGCCUGUGAACAUCCAAAUAAUUAGUAGUCUAACAUU